CCGCCCGUCACACCAUGGGAGUUGAUUGCCCCACCAGAAGCAGGUAGCCUGACCGCAAGGAGGGCGCCUACCACGGUGUGGUCAAUGACUGGGGUG
rnacentral:rRNA from 1 species